rnacentral:rRNA from 1 species
AAAUACUCGAGAGGGGCCCUCGGGGGCUGCCGUGGAGAAGGGUUUCUUGUGAACAGCCGUUGUCCAAGAGUCAGUCGAUCCUAAGCCCGGGGAGAAAUCCUACACUUAACGACGAUGACGAGAAGAACCUCGCGGCGUACGACGACGAAUAGAGACUCGCAUCGAUGACGAUUCGCGCGGAGCCCAAUCGAGUUCUCGCUUUCAGAGACGAUUGCGAUGGCCCGAUUUCUUCGCCGUGUGCUCACCACACACAGCGUCGUACAAUCGGCGAGUCAUCACGUAUACGAGCGCGCCUCUCUAGAGAGGUCGUAGUCUCUGUAUACGGGUUCCUCGAGUACGAAAGUGCGAUCGUCUGCGUUUUCUCGCCAAUUAUUCGUUUGCUCGAACGCGUCGCGUAGGAAAAAUUCGACUCGAUCGUGUUUUGGGGCGAAAGGGAAUCCGGUCCGUAUUCCGGAACCCGGCGCGGAACCGCUCCCUAGUGUUCGGGGCCCUUAAACGCGCAGCGUCACUCCGGUGUCGCUGUCGUGUGCCUCGUCCGGGUAACCGAAAUGAACCCGGAGACGUCGCCGGGGGGUCCGGGAAGAGUUCUCUUUUCUCUGUGAGCGUUGUACGUCCCUGGAAUCCGCUAGCCGGGAGAUAGGGACGCGAGCGCGAAGAGCACCGCUCGCUGCGGCGGUGUCCGUGAUCCCCACGCGAACCUUGAAAAUCCGGGAGAGGGCCACGCGGAGUCUUCGCGCCGGUUCGUACCGAUAUCCGCAGCAGGUCUCCGAGGUGAGCAGCCUCUAGCCGCAUAGAAUAAUGUAGGUAAGGGAAGUCGGCAAAUUGGAUCCGUAACUUCGGGAUAAGGAUUGGCUCUGAGGAGCGUGGCGGCUCGGGUUCGGGUUGCGCAGAAGCGGAGACGGGAAAGGCGGCGCCCUGUCGUUGGACAACGCCCUUCGGGGUGGUCGUCUGGCGGCGUGGGAUGUCUGUCGCCCGGCUUCCGUGGAACCUCCGAACUUUGCGCGGCGGCGAAUCCGCGCGUCGUUACCGUCGACACGCGGGCAACCGCGUCGUUAGGCGGUCGACGAUGUGCGGGCUCUCGCCGUCGACGCUAAUCGACUGCCAAGUAACGGUCAGCUCAGAACUGGCACGGACCAGGGGAAUCCGACUGUCUAAUUAAAACAAAGCAUCGUGAUGGCCCUCGCGGGUGUUGACACGAUGUGAUUUCUGCCCAGUGCUCUGAAUGUCAACGUGAAGAAAUUCAAGCAAGCGCGGGUAAACGGCAGGAGUAACUAUGACUCUUUUAAGGUAGCCAAAUGCCUCGUCAUCUAAUUAGUGACGCGCAUGAAUGGAUUAACGAGAUUCUCUCUGUCCCUAUUUACUUUCUAGCGAAACCACAGCCAAGGGAACGGGCUUGGAAAAAUCAGCGGGGAAAGAAGACCCUGUUGAGCUUAACUUUAGUCUAAAGCGCAAAUUGGCGCGGAUAGUAUAGUAAUAAGUGGAAAAUAAACCAAAAGAAUAUAAACGUGUAACACCACUAUAUUUGUAGUUAGUUUACUUAUCUUAUAUGUAAACUUAGUGAAAGAAAAAGCAUGAGAAAUUCUAGAGAGAAACAAUAAAGAAAAUCGCAAUCAUAAUUAACGAGGAAUCUACUAAAAAUACGGAUAGAGAAAACAAUGAAGAGAAACGAGAAAAUAGUAAUGAAAUUUAAGUAAGAAACAGACUUAGGUAGGAAGUUUGGCUGGGGCGGCAUAAUCUUUAAAGAGUAACAAGAUUGUCCAAAGUAAUACUCAACGAGAAGGGAAAUCUCUUGUCGAAUAAAAAGGUAAAAGUGAGAUUGAUUUAUAACCAAAGUAAAGAUAGAAACUGUGAAAGCAAGGCUUAUCGAUCCUUAUUCACAUUUAGCAGUUAAAGCAUGAGGUGUCAGAAAAGUUACCAUAGGGAUAACUGGCUUGUGGCUACCAAGAGUUCAUAUCGACGCAGCUUUUUGAUCCUUCGAUGUCGGCUCUUCUUAACCUUCGAAAGCAGAAUU